GACAGAGGUCCCGAGCGUUAGGCGGAAUCACUGGGCUUAAAGCGUGUGUAGGCGGAUUUGUAAGUACCUUGUGAAAUCCCACAGCUUAACUGUGGAACUGCUUGGUAUACUGCGGGUCUUGAGCCACCUAGGGGCAAGCGGAACAAACGGUGGAGCGGUGAAAUGCGUAGAUAUCGUUUGGAACGCCAAUGGUGAAAACAGCUUGCUGGGGGUGUGCUGACGCUGAGACACGAAAGCCAGGGGAGCAAACGGG
rnacentral:rRNA from 1 species